rnacentral:tRNA from 1 species
UCCCUGAUAGCUCAGUUGGUAAAGAAUCCGCCUCCAAUGCAGGAGACCCCAGGUUCGAUCCCUGGUUCUGGAA